GAUGAAGAACGUAGCGAAAUGCGAUAAGUAAUGUGAAUUGCAGAAUUCAGUGAACAUCGAAUCUUUGAACGCACAUUGCGCCCGCCAGUAUUCUGGCGGGCAUGCCUGUUCGAGCGUCAUUACAACCCUCAGGCCCCCGGGCCUGGCGUUGGGGAUCGGCGGAGCCCCCCGUGGGCACACGCCGUCCCCCAAAUGCAGUGGCGGUCCCGCCGCAGCUUCCAUCGCGUAGUAGCUAACACCUCGCGACUGGAGAGCGGCGCGGCCACGCCGUAAAACACCCAACUCUUCUGAAGUUGACCUCGAAUCAGGUAGGAAUACCCGCUGAACUUAAGCAUAUCAAUAAGCGGAGGA
rnacentral:misc_RNA from 1 species